AACGAACGCUGGCGGCAGGCUUAACACAUGCAAGUCGAGCGCCCCGCAAGGGGAGCGGCAGACGGGUGAGUAACGCGUGGGAAUCUACCGUGCCCUACGGAAUAGCUCCGGGAAACUGGAAUUAAUACCGUAUACGCCCUUCGGGGGAAAGAUUUAUCGGGGUAUGAUGAGCCCGCGUUGGAUUAGCUAGUUGGUGGGGUGAAGGCCUACCAAGGCGACGAUCCAUAGCUGGUCUGAGAGGAUGAUCAGCCACAUUGGGACUGAGACACGGCCCAAACUCCUACGGGAGGCAGCAGUGGGGAAUAUUGGACAAUGGGCGCAAGCCUGAUCCAGCCAUGCCGCGUGAGUGAUGAAGGCCCUAGGGUUGUAAAGCUCUUUCACCGGUGAAGAUAAUGACGGUAACCGGAGAAGAAGCCCCGGCUAACUUCGUGCCAGCCGCCGCGGUAA
rnacentral:rRNA from 1 species